rnacentral:misc_RNA from 1 species
AAGUCGUAACAAGGUUUCCGUAGGUGAACCUGCGGAAGGAUCAUUACCGAGUUAGGGUCCUUGUGGCCUGACCUCCAACCCGGUGUCGAUGUUACCUCGUUGCUUUGGCGGGCCGUCUCCGGACCAGCCGGGGCCUAUGCCCCGAGCCCGUGCCCGCCAACAGCCCCCCUCUAACUCCUGUUGAAUGGUGAUGUCUGAGUGUAUACGAAAAUAAACAAAACUUUCAACAACGGAUCUCUUGGUUCUG